rnacentral:rRNA from 1 species
CCUACGGGAGGCAGCAGUGAGGAAUAUUGGUCAAUGGGCGUAAGCCUGAACCAGCCAAGUCGCGUGAGGGAUGAAGGUUCUAUGGAUCGUAAACCUCUUUUAUAAGGGAAUAAAGUGUGGGACGUGUCCUGUUUUUUAUGUACCUUAUGAAUAAGGAUCGGCUAACUCCGUGCCAGCCGCCGCGGUAAUACGGAGGAUCCGAGCGUUAUCCGGAUUUAUUGGGGUUAAAGGGUGCGUAGGCGGGCUUUUAAGUCAGCGGUGAAAGUUUGUGGCGCAACCAUAGAAUUGCCGUUGAAACUGGGGGGCUUGAGUAUGUUAGAGGCAGGCGGAAUGCGUGGUGUAGCGGUGAAAUGCUUAGAUAUCACGCAGAACCCCGAUUGCGAAGGCAGCCUGCCAGGCCAUGACUGACGCUGAUGCACGAAAGCGUGGGGAUCAAACAGGAUUAGAUACCCGAGUAGUC